CUCAAUCGCUCAACUCUCUCCACCUUCCACUCAUCGCCGUUGCUGAAUAUCUCCCUUUUCUUAUCCUCUCUGCCAGGAGAUUUAGGGUUUAGACACGCCACAAAAUCAAAGAAGAUUUAAUCGGGAGAAUCGAAUCCACGACUGUAAAUCGAUGGCCACACAACCUCCAAACGAUGGCUGAAGACAGACCAUCCCCAUAUCUAUCCUCUACAGCUAUGACCAUCGAAAGGUCACCUCUUUCUCUCUCUAAUUGCGUGUAUAUCUGGGGCAUAAUUUGACCAAUGGGCGUUCGGAUCAGUUGAGAUGGCGUCUCAGAGCAAUGGAGGAAGAAGUAGACCGACGAGAUUAAAUUUAUUCAUAGGGCGAGGUGCUUGUGGAAUGGAUUACAAAGCCAAGCAGGUAAAUUUAUCAGUUUUAUCAUUUUGCUAGACUUGACUAUUUUAUUGUUCCUUUGUUUUGUAUAUUAAAAAAAUAUCGAUUGGGUGGUAUUUAGUUCCUCAAUUUGUUUGCGGGUGACUAAUACUUGAUUUACAUCUUAACGUCGUAAGGUAUAUCUUAUUCUUUCCAAACUAUUAUUCAUGUUCAGAAAUUGAAGAAAUCAACCACCUAGGCUUCAAGUAUAAUAAUUACAGUAAUUUGAUAUAAUGCAUUAAAUGUGGCUUCCAACAAAUGGAAUAGCCUGGGUACAAAAGUGGUGAGUCGAGCAGGUGGGUGUUAACUACGAUUACAAAAACUAUAUUAGUACAAUCUAAUGAUAAAGCUAAAGAAUCUGAUGCUAAAUGAGUUGAUUAAAUAUCAAACCAAACAAACAAUCAAGGUUCUUGGGUUCCUUUCUUCACUUUCUGAUAUUGAUCAUGAGUUUUGGGAGUUUUGUAUGCUGGACUUAUGAUUGAGAAGAAAUCUGCUUUGCCAAAACUAAUCGAGUACAAUGUCCGGUUCGGAGAUCCAGAAUGCCAGGUAAGCUAGGUUCUAUCUACAGUCACUUUUAAAACACACAUCCAAACACGCCCCCCUAAGUUUCAUGAAUUUGUAACAUAAUCUCUUCCUUAGUUAAGCAGUUUUAGUCAUUUAUAUCUUUUAACUGACAUCCUCUGAGUAUCUAUAAACCCAACUGUUGAAAAUCUGACUCAUUGGUCUGUUUAUUUUAUCUUUGGUACCUUUUCAUUCAGAUCGUAACAUUUUAAGAUAUAUUCAACUAAAAAUCAUUGAGAUGUAAUCAUGAAUCGCAAGUAUAUGGCUACUCAUUUCCUCAUCUUACAAAGAGAAAUAAUGUUGCUGGGCACC
rnacentral:lncRNA from 1 species